GACUCUCGGCAACGGAUAUCUCGGCUCUCGCAUCGAUGAAGAACGUAGCGAAAUGCGAUACCUGGUGUGAAUUGCAGAAUCCCGCGAACCAUCGAGUCUUUGAACGCAAGUUGCGCCCUAGGCCACUCGGCCGAGGGCACGCCUGCCUGGGCGUCA
rnacentral:rRNA from 1 species